GAUUGCAGGCUGAAACUCGCCUGUAUGAAGUCGGAAUUGCUAGUAAUCGCGGAUCAGCAUGCCGCGGUGAAUACGUUCCCGGGCCUUGUACACACCGCCCGUCACACCAUGAGAGUUGGGAAUACCCGAAGCCUGUGAGCUAACGUUAAGAGGCAGCAGUCGAAGGUAGAAUCAAUGAUUGGGGUGAAGUCGUAACAAGGUAGC
rnacentral:rRNA from 1 species